UACAGAGGUCUCAAGCGUUGUUCGGAUUCAUUGGGCGUAAAAGGUGCGUAGGCGGCGCGGUAAGUCGGGUGUGAAAUCUCGGAGCUUAACUCCGAAACUGCAUUCGAUACUGCCGUGCUUGAGGACUGGAGAGGAGACUGGAAUUUACGGUGUAGCGGUGAAAUGCGUAGAUAUCGUAAGGAAGACCAGUGGCGAAGGCGGGUCUCUGGGCCGAUACUGACGCUGAGGAGCGAAAGCGUGGGGAGCGAACAGG
rnacentral:rRNA from 1 species